UACGAAGGGGGCGAGCGUUGUUCGGAAUUACUGGGCGUAAAGCGUGCGCAGGCGGUUCGUUGUGUCGGCGGUGAAAGCCCCGGGCUCAACCUGGGAAUGGCCGUUGAAACUGGCGAACUGGAGUGUGGCAGAGGGGGGUGGAAUUCCACGUGUAGCGGUGAAAUGCGUAGAGAUGUGGAGGAACACCAGUGGCGAAGGCGGCUCUCUGGACUGUAACUGACGCUGAGGCGCGAAAGCGUGGGGAGCAAACAGG
rnacentral:rRNA from 1 species